rnacentral:lncRNA from 1 species
AAUACUCCCACGCAGCAAACCUCCCGUAGCACCGAGCCGUCUUGCUCAUCGGUGCAGCGUCCAUCGCCCAAGUGUCGGCUCUUCAAGUCAGCGCAUCCCCCCGUUGCUAGUUUCCAUCGUGGUUUGACACGGGGAGUUCAUGACAUUUUGUUUAUUUACUUAUGUGGAUUAGGUAAACGCGAUUAGGACAAGUGGAUGAGUGAGCUGACUUGGAACUCGCCGGAUUAAAUUCAUUUACACCGAUUUUGUUUACAUUUUCUCUGCAAAGUCAGUAUGGAUUCAGAACCUACGUGCUGUGAAAAACAGUUACAAUAGGAGAUUCAGGCCAUGUUCUUCUGAUUAUGCACUGGACUAUAGCCAUUUUCCCACAGCGGCUCAUCCACUAUUGGAUAACCACCAUGUAGCUUGUUCACUUUAGGUGACCCUCUUGCUGAUUUCAAUAGUUC